rnacentral:lncRNA from 1 species
CAAGAUUAGACAAGUUUUGAAGAGCCAUAAGUGGCUCAGAUUGGUCACCCCUGGGCUCACAUAGUUGAAUUUUAAAUUUAAUGACAGAAAAUCAGCAAAGAUUUGACACCAAAGAUAUAAAUAUAUCUAACGGCAGAUGAUGAAAAUAUUACAUUCCUCUUAAAGAUCAACCUAAAGCCACCGAAGUCACCCUUCCAGCUCUUGGUUUCAGGUUUUAUUUCAUUCCCUAUGUCACUCUCCAUGUGACAUGGGGCUGGACAAAGAUUGAAGUCCUAGAUGAGUAAGACCUUGAGUCAUUCACAGUCAAGAAAGGUUUAACCUGUGAUCCAAGGAAGAGGGACAAGAAGUGGAGACCAAGUGCAGCCUCAAAAGUUCAUGACGAGACUCCAAAAGCUUAGCAAGAAGGUAUUAUGGAGAUCUACAUCUUGGUUUCUUACUCUGAAAUUGGGACUACUUGGAGAGCAAGAAUGGAAAGGUUCGAAAGUACAGAAUUCUUCACUCUGGCUACAUCUAUGCUCAAGCCAUCUCCAGAAAGACAUACAGAUAUACAAUUUGACCCCUUGUUUCAUCAUUCUACAUGUUUACAGUUUGAAAAAUAAUGUUUACUUUUUGUGCUCAGGAAAAGAAAUUCAGACUUUCUAAAAAAACCCAAAACACUAUAGGGGUAAGGAAAAUGUUUAAAUUGUAACAUGAAAGUGAUAACUUAAACCAAGGCUAUGAUUUAUUUAAUAAAUAUUUCUUGAGCUUC